rnacentral:precursor_RNA from 11 species
ACUCGGUCGACUGGAUGUUUAACCCCCUGGACGUAUACUGAAUGUAUCCUGAGCUUCAUUCAUUCCGGUAUACCUUCAGUAUACGUAACAGGAGGCAACACUUUCAACAAAUUACAAU